rnacentral:rRNA from 2 species
GGAUAAGGAAAGUAAAAAAGGGCGCAUGGCGGAUGCCUUGGCUCUCGGAGGCGAUGAAGGACGUGAUAAGCUGCGAUAAGCUUUGGGGAGGUGCAAAUGACCUUUGAUCCAGAGAUUUCCGAAUGGGACAACCCAAUAUCUUGAAGAGGUAUUAUCUUACUAUGUAAGAGGCUAACGCAGGGAACUGAAACAUCUUAGUACCUGCAGGAAAAGAAAAUAAACAAUGAUUCCCCCAGUAGUGGCGAGCGAACGGGGAACAGCCCAAACCAUCCAUGUUACGGCAUGUGUGGGGUUGUAGGACUACGCCGUUGCAUGAAGACAUCAGAGAAGAACUUUCUGGAAAGAAAGACCAUAGAGCAUGACAGUUGCGUAUUCGAAUGUUGUCGAAGCAUAGUAGUAUCCUGAGUAGCGCGGAGCACGAGGAAUUCUGCGUGAAUCUGCCGGGACCAUCCGGUAAGGCUAAAUACUCCCGAGAGACCGAUAGCGAACCAGUACCGUGAGGGAAAGGUGAAAAGCACUUCGAACAGAAGAGUGAAAUAGUUCCUGAAACCGUGCGCCUACAAGCGGUCGGAGCUCGUUAAUGAGUGACGGCGUGCCUUUUGCAUAAUGAACCUACGAGUUGCCUUUGCCGGCAAGGUUAAGUGUGACGACACACGUAUCCGAAGCGAAAGCGAGUCUGAACAGGGCGUAUAGUCGGCAGUGGCAGACGCGAAACCAAGUGAUCUACCCUUGGCCAGGUUGAAGGCUGGGUAACACCAGCUGGAGGACCGCACCAAUAAGCGUUGAAAAGCUUCUGGAUGAGCUGAGGGUAGGGGUGAAAGGCUAAUCAAACUUGGAGAUAGCUCGUACUCCCCGAAAUGCAUUUAGGUGCAGCCUUGCGGGUUACUGAUGUGAGGUAGAGCGACUGAUAAGAUGCGAGGGCUUCACCGCCUAUCAAGUCUUGACAAACUCCGAAUGCGCAUCAGUUCUACCGCAGGAGUGAGGGCAUGGGUGCUAAGGUCCGUGCCCGAGAGGAGAAGAAUCCGGACCACCUGCUAAGGUCCCGAAAUGACAGCUAAGUUAAACUAACGAAGUCUGACUGCUAAGACAGCUAGGAUGUUGGCUUGGAAGCAGCCAUUCAUUUAAAGAGUGCGUAACAGCUCACUAGUCGAGGAGUCGGGCGUGGAUAAUAAUCGGGUAUCAAGUUGUCUACCGAAGCAGUGGGAUCAUUAAUAUGAUCGGUAGGGGAGCAUUCCAGUCGGCGUCGAAGGCGUACCGUGAGGUAUUCUGGAGCGUCUGGAAAAGCAAAUGUAGGUAUAAGUAACGAUAAAGGGGGCGGGAAACCCCCUCGCCGAAAGACUAAGGUUUCCUGAUCAACGCUAAUCGGAUCAGGGUCAGUCGGGUCCUAAGGCUCAGCCGAACGGCGAUGCCGAUGGCAGAAACGGUUAAUAUUCCGUUACUACCUUCAGGAGUGACGUGGAGACGCCAGUAGUGACAGUGCCGCCAUCUGACGGAAUAGAUGGUUGAAGGGUGUAGGAGUCGAUCAUGGCAGGCAAAUCCACCAUGAGAUCCGAACCUGAUAGUAUGCCGCGUCCUUCGGGACAAGGCAAUAGUGCGCGUAAGCAUGCUGCCGAGAAAAUCCGCUAAACUUAAUCCUGGAGGUACCCGUACCGCAAACGGACACACGUAGUCGGAUGAAUAUUCUAAGGCGCUUGAGUGAUUCACGGUUAAGGAACUAGGCAAACUGACCCUGUAACUUCGGGAUAAAGGGUCCCUACCCUUUUAUGGGAGGGCGCAGAGAAUCGUCCAGGCAACUGUUUAACAAAAACACAGGGCUGUGCCAAAUCGAAAGAUCCAGUAUACAGCCUGACACCUGCCCGGUGCUGGAAGGUUAAGAGGAGAUGUCAUCGAUAAGAGAAGCGUUGAAUUGAAGCCCCAGUAAACGGCGGCCGUAACUAUAACGGUCCUAAGGUAGCGAAAUUCCUUGUCGGGUAAGUUCCGACCUGCACGAAUGGUGUAAUGAUCUGGACGCUGUCUCAACCGUGAGCUCAGUGAAAUUGUAGUAUCGGUGAAGAUGCCGAUUACCCGCGAUGGGACGAAAAGACCCCGUGAACCUUUACUAUAGCUUAUCAUUGAAUCUGGGCACGUGAUGUGUAGGAUAGGUCGGAGGCUUUGAAGCAGGUACGCCAGUAUUUGUGGAGCCGCUGUUGAAAUACGACCCUUUAUUUGUUUGGAUUCUAACCCGUGGAUACGGGGACAUUGAUUGGUGGGUAGUUUGACUGGGGUGGUCGCCUCCAAAAGCGUAACGGAGGCUUCUAAAGGUGCCUCCGGCCGAUUGGU